rnacentral:rRNA from 1 species
CCUACGGGAGGCAGCAGUGGGGAAUAUUGCACAAUGGGGGAAACCCUGAUGCAGCGACGCCGCGUGAGUGAAGAAGUAUUUCGGUACGUAAAGCUCUAUCAGCAGGGAAGAAAAUGACGGUACCUGACUAAGAAGCCCCGGCUAACUACGUGCCAGCAGCCACGGUAAUACGUAGGGGGCAAGCGUUAUCCGGAUUUACUGGGUGUAAAGGGAGCGUAGACGGCAGCGCAAGUCUGGAGUGAAAUCCCAUGGCUUAACCAUGGAACUGCUUUGGAAACUGUGCAGCUAGAGUGCAGGAGAGGUAAGCGGAAUUCCUAGUGUAGCGGUGAAAUGCGUAGAUAUUAGGAGGAACACCAGUGGCGAAGGCGGCUUACUGGACUGUAACUGACGUUGAGGCUCGAAAGCGUGGGGAGCAAACAGGAUUAGAUACCCGGGUAGUC